GGCGAGGCCGAAAGGCGUAGUCGAUGGGAAACGGGUUAAUAUUCCCGUACUUCUUACAAUUGCGAUGGGGGGACGGAGAAGGCUAGGUGGGCCUGGCGACGGUUGUCCAGGUUCAAGUGCGUAGGCUUAAGAGUUAGGUAAAUCCGGCUCUUUUUAAGGCUGAGACACGACGUCGAGCACCUACGGGUGUGAAGUCAUUGAUGCCAUGCUUCCAGGAAAAGCCUCUAAGCUUCAGAUUGUAAGG
rnacentral:rRNA from 1 species